rnacentral:tRNA from 1 species
GGCCUCAUAGCUGAGCUGGUAGAGCGUGCACGUGCAAAGCGUAGGCGGCGUCCAUACGUGGGUUCGAAUCCCAACGAGGCCA